rnacentral:misc_RNA from 1 species
UUGUGGAGGAGGACGCCGAAGGUGGGGCUGAUGACUGGGGUGAAGUCGUAACAAGGUAGCCGUACCGGAAGGUGCGGCUGGAUCACCUCCUAACAGGGAGACAAAAACUGAUCGAGAUGUCUUAGUAAAACUUACUUAGGCCUUGAUCCUGUCACCUUAGGUCGAUCGGUACCUCAGAUUGAUAAUUAUUCAAUUUCAGUUCCUAAACUUUGUCUAGGUCACACCCCACAAGGGUAUUCCUGGGCCAUUAGCUCAGGUGGUUAGAGCGCACCCCUGAUAAGGGUGAGGUCCCUGGUUCAAGUCCAGGAUGGCCCAUUCGGUGUUGGGGGUAUAGCUCAGUUGGUAGAGCGCCUGCUUUGCAAGCAGGAUGUCAGCGGUUCGAGUCCGCUUACCUCCACUGAUCAACCUCCUAAUGGCGAAUCAAUAGGGAUUUACUUGUUGAUGUGAUUUAGAUUUGUUCUAUAGAAGAACCUAGCUUCUUAUCACCAAGAUAAGCUGAUAAGACGCUGGGCUCACUGCAGUUUUUUAAUUGCAGAGAAGUUCAGUAGAACCUUGAAAACUGCAUAGUGAGUCUGGAAAAUAAAAGCAUCUCAUAGAUGGAUUUUAUUUAAUAGGUAAUUUCUUAUUGAAUAAAAUUUUUAAUUCUUGAGUUAAGAGCUGAGAUUCUAUGGAUUUCUUAUGAUUUCUGUAGAAAUAUUAUGGUCAAGCUACAA